rnacentral:tRNA from 1 species
UAUCUGUAGGUUAAUUAAAAUCGUAAAGCUGUUAACUUUAAGUUGUUUGUAAGGACUAGAUACG